rnacentral:rRNA from 1 species
GUCGAACGAACCCUUCGGGGUUAGUGGCGCACGGGUGCGUAACGCGUGGGAACCUGCCUUUAGGUUCGGAAUAACAGUUAGAAAUGACUGCUAAUACCGGAUAAUGUCUUCGGACCAAAGAUUUAUCGCCUUUAGAUGGGCCCGCGUUAGAUUAGAUAGUUGGUGGGGUAAUGGCCUACCAAGUCGACGAUCUAUAGCUGGUCUGAGAGGAUGAUCAGCCACACUGGGACUGAGACACGGCCCAGACUCCUACGGGAGGCAGCAGUGGGGAAUAUUGGACAAUGGGCGAAAGCCUGAUCCAGCAAUGCCGCGUGAGUGAUGAAGGCCUUAGGGUUGUAAAGCUCUUUUACCAGGGAUGAUAAUGACAGUACCUGGAGAAUAAGCUCCGGCUAACUCCGUGCCAGCAGCCGCGGUAAUACGGAGGGAGCUAGCGUUGUUCGGAAUUACUGGGCGUAAAGCGCGCGUAGGCGGCUUUUUAAGUCAGAGGUGAAAUCCCAGGGCUCAACCCUGGAACUGCCUUUGAAACUGGAAAGCUAGAAUAUUGGAGAGGUAAGUGGAAUUCCGAGUGUAGAGGUGAAAUUCGUAGAUAUUCGGAAGAACACCAGUGGCGAAGGCGACUUACUGGACAAUUAUUGACGCUGA